UCACAUAAUAAUCGGCCAAAGGAAGUUGAAAAACUGCUCCUCACACAAAAUGUAAUUGCAGCCGAGUCGGCUUUUCCCUCUCCCUUAGCCGCCGAGUCGGCUUUUUCUUCUGGAAUAAAAUGCCUUUUGUCGGUCAUCACAGCCGAGUUGGCUGCCUCCAAAUCCCACUAACCACCGAGUCGGCUUUAGUCUCUGAAAAAAUACUUCAAACACAGUCAUUACAGCCGAGUCGUCUUCAACCUAUGCCCACCACGCCACUGAAUUCCUACUUGAACCCAGCCAGUGAUUCAUCUAAAACCCAAGAUAAGACUCGAGUCGAGUCACCAUCUUCAACAGAGAUCAUCUUAUUCUGACUCUGAUUCAAACCUACAUUUUACACUUGAAUAUGCUUUUGUAGAUUUCCAAUUCUUACCUGCGGGAACUUUCUCUGAUCCUGGUCUGAAGUUAGAAUUACCUGCAUACGAGCUUAGGGUUACUGGAAUUAGCAAAAAUUCAGGAUCUUGAUUUUGACCUGGAAAGCAUUUACACAAAUCCGUUGCUCUGUUGUUAUUAUUCGGCAUCACGCAUAUGUUAAAUUGUGGUCUUUUUUAAUAGAACCCCCAAUUUCACUGAAGAAAUUCCUGAAAAUGCGGAGGCUGAAGCCAUUAUCAACCAGAAAAGUCCUUUUGGGCAAAAUAUGUCGUCCUGGUUGACAUUUUGACCAAUUAUUAUUGAUUGUCUCUGUUGCAAUGAAUGGUUCUGAUCCCUCUAGAGCUGAUGCUCAUGAAUGGUAUGACACAAGCUAUGAAAAUGGCAGAGGAGCAGACAGGUCGGGAAUCAGGAGGGCAGCAUGGGGCUCCAAAUGCUGCCGUACGAAGAAGAUAGUCUUUUUAAGCUUCUGAUUUCUUGAGGUUCCUUUGAGAAACAUAGAAGCUGAUCCUCAAGUUCUGUUGGAGCAUAGAGACAUUUCUGCUGUGGGAAACAAUGAUCCUAAUUAAGAAGCUCUCUGGCAUAUGUUCUUGUUUCGCAGGAAUUCAAGCCUUUGGUCAUUAUGUGCAGUCAAAAGGAUAGAAAACAAAACUCGAACCUAUGCUAUGAUAACGUUUUGAUGUGAAUUUAGGUUUCGUUUUCUUAUGUUAGUUUGUAAGAUGUAUUUAUUUGGAUUUGCUAAAUUGUUUUCAGCAAGUUAAUAAAGAAAGUUUUGCUUUUUCUCAUCCUUCUAUCUUGUGCUGUUCAAAAUUAUGCUUAUGUUUGUCCAAAAUCUCACAACCGAAUGAUCAGAUUUGCAUUUAGCUAAAUUCUAAAAAAUUUCAUCAAACAACUCAUGAUUCAGGACAUUGGAGUACAUUUCAACUGGUCUUACAUGAAAUACCAUAUAUAUGCUGUAUCAUUGUUACUUAUCUGUGGUAUUCGUUCUCGGGAACUCGUACAACUCGAAAUAAUGGUGGAAACAUUUCUUUAGGUAACUCAUACAAUCCAAAAGUUUUCCUUUUCUUUUCUUAAAUUGAAAAGAAUACAACUGCACUUGACAGAUCGACGAAAAACAGGAGCUGAUACAAAAAUGUGUCUUUGACAUUCAGAGGGCCACUACGCAACAUUCGAAGAGCCCUUAAAGUUCAUCCUGCAAAACCAUACAGUGCAAGAAGAUGAUCACUUAACUGAAGAGAUUACUGAUGUUUGACAUAACCAGAAAGAAACAGCUGUGUGUAGAUUGUCAGAGAAGAGGAGAAAUGCAAGUUAAGGGUCCACAAUAUGUUUGGAGAAUAACCAAUGAAAAUUGAGAAUGCCAGCACGGACAUUGGCACAACCAUUGGUGUUGUUUAUCCACAUACUUAAUACCUCAAUUGUCAAAGUCUUGGUCUAGAAUUAGAUAAUGGUAUGAAUUUGUGAUCAUUGUUCACCAAUGACUUUUCCAUGGAGCAUUUUGCACUUUAAAUGAAGACUUAACUCUAUUAUUUUAUGUUCAGAUUGAUGAUCUUUUCAUUUACUUUUUUAAUAGUGUGUAAGUGUAUUAUUUGCCAAAAAAUAUUAGAUACAAAUAAUUGUUACGUGAGUUUCAAGUUUAAAACAAAACUUUGCAAAAUGUUUACCUUGGCUUACUAGUUUAUGUAAUCAAGAGUUUCUAGUAGGGUGACCCAGUGUCACCAUAAUGUUAAAUACACAAUAUUUCAAAGUAGUUAUAUUUCAUGCAACAAUUUCAAAAUCCUUUAACAUGAUAGUACAUUUAAUGUUUAAAUGAUAUAUAAAUUUGAUCUUUUAAAUCAAACAAUGAAAAUAAAGUGACAAAUUACUCGCAAUCCAUCAAAUAAACUAUAAGUCCUUUUGAAUUAAGAAAUUAUCGCACUUAUCUAAACUCAAACUGUUUAUUUGUGCUUAUUUCGGGUCAUAUAAGUAACUUGAUAAUCUUGUUUGAACUUUUCCUAACUUAUAUUGACAAUUCACCGAGCACAAAGGUUAGUCUAAACUACAAACUAGAUCGGACUAAUUCAUAUGUUAUGAUUUUCAAUCCCAAAAUUAUGCAUUUGGAAGCAGGAAAUUAAAUUUCUUUACGACAUGGAUGACUUCCAUGUUUAGAAGUGACAAAAUCCAAGUCUUGCAAGUCUUUUUUGCAGUAUUCCCAUUGCAAUGAUGACAAUUGACUGCCGACUUGCACAAUGGGGAAAGCAAAUAAUACGAUAAAACUAAACCCAUAGGAGUAAUGUGUAUAGAAAAGAGAGAAAGAAACGAGAACAUAAAGAAAGUUCCAAGUUGUAGCUUUCAUUGGAAAACGAGAUCAAAAAUUCGGUGCUGCGGUGCUCUGAAACACAAAUACUGGCAUAAAUGAAUACAGGGUCAUUUCGUGCUCGAAAUAUACAGUAAUUAUUGUAAACUCAGGCAGAAUGAUACUGUUGUAACACCACCUUUGAAAAAAAUGGUCUCUA